rnacentral:rRNA from 1 species
UACAGAGAUGGCAAGCGUUGUUCGGAAUCACUGGGCUUAAAGCGCGUGUAGGCGGAGCGAAAGGCGCCUUGUGAAAUCCCUCGGCUCAACCGGGGAACUGCUUGGCGAACCGGCGCUCUUGAGGCAGGUAGAGGUCACUGGAACCAUUGGUGGAGCGGUGAAAUGCGUAGAUAUCAGGAGGAACGCCGGUGGCGAAGGCGACUCUCUGGACGGUAACUGACGCUGAUUGUGCGAAAGCUAGGGGAGCAAA